AAGGGAUGUGGCUGGGUGGAGAGAGGAAUACAAUGUGGGAGGAGAUGGGAGCUCGGUACAGUCUAAGGUGCGGUCUGAAGCAGUCAGACAGAGGACAAAGUCUGAGUAUACAGUCCGAGGAUUCCUAGAGACAGAAUCUCAACCCUUUCGGUCUGAGCAUUGGUAGAGAGCUCACCAAUGUCUAGCCACCUUGCUCUCAGCAUCCUGUUUCUGUGUACCAAGGACUAGAAACCAGAAGAGGACAAUGACUCCCCUGGAGCUAAAGUUAUAAAUGAUUGUGAACUACCUACCCAAUCAGAACGCCAGGAACUGAAGUCCUGUGUCCCAAAUGAGCAGCAAGCACUCCUAAGUACUGAGCCUCAUAAAUCAAGCCUCAAGAAUCAAAAUUUGCAGUCAGUGGUGGUGGUAGUGGUGUUUGCCUUCAAUCCCAGAACUUGAAGGCAGAGGCAGAUGGAUCUGAGUCCUAGGACAGCCAGAGUCUCAGAAAUCAAGCCAGAAUAGCCUGGCACCCAAUGACCAAUCUGCCUCCAGCAGAAUGCUGGGAAGCAUCUGCCACCACACCCAGCCCAAGAUUUACCCUGAACUUUGUUAUUUGUGUGUUUCUGUGCAGAGGUUUUUACAAGUGAGUUAAGAUGCCCAUGGAGGUGACAAGAGUGUCAGAGUCCCUGGAAUUAGAGUUAUGGGGGGUCAUCACUCACCUAACCUGGGCACUAGAAACUGAACUUGAGGCGUCUAAAAGCACAGCAUGGACUCUCAACCACCAGCCCUGGCUUAGGCUUUUAAACACUGGUUAUGCUUUUUCUCAGCAUCAUUUAUUCGUGGUGCUGAAAACUGAACUUGGAGCCUAAAGCAUGCUGGUUAACUUGCUCUGCUUCCAAGGUAGACAUCCAGUCCUGAGUAAUGAAUGAAUGAGUGAAUGAAUGAAUAAAUAAAUAAAUAAAAAAGAGGGGGAAAGGGUCGCUUGUCGCAGGCUGGCCUCACAGUCAAAGAUGACCUUGAAUUCCUUGCUGUGAGGCAAUCCUUUAGUACACUGUUCCAAUGUGUUGCUGUCAUUGGUUUAAUCAAGGGCUAAAUGGUCAAUACCUGGCAGGAAGGUUGGGCGGGAAGGCCAGACUGAGAGAACGCAAGGAAGAAGGGUAGAGUCACCAGGAGACAGGAGAAGCCAGGGAGACACAAAACGAAUCGGACACACAAAAUGGGAUAGAGGUAAUAAAGCGAUGAGGCACAAAGUAAAUUAAUAGAAAGGUGAUAAUUUGGGUUGUAAGGGCUAGUUAGUAACAAGCCUAAACUAUCAGGCAAGCAUUUAUAAUUAAUACGUCUCCCUCCCUGUUACAGGUGGGACUGAGAUGAUUGGCAGGAUAGAAAACCCCGCCUACAAUUCCUAAUCCUCCUGACUCCACCUUCUGAUGGGACUACAGAUAUCGGUCCCCAGGCCUAAUUUACGAAGUGAUGGGAAUUGAACCCAGGGCUUCCUGUGUGCUAGACAAGCCACUCUCCUGAGCUAUAUUCUGAGCCGUAGUGCAUAAAAUUUUGAAAAUUACAAAAUUAUACACUAAAAACUAACUUCCAAAGGUCCUAGAAGGUCUGAAAACUAGGAAUUCCUAAGCACACAAGGGAAUUUUCUAGGGUACUAGAAAUGUUUCAUAUCCUGAUUGGGGAUAGGUACCCAGAUAAACACUGGUCCAAACUCACUCUUUUAGCCAGGUGUGGUCGUUUAUGCCUAUGACCCUUAGCACUCAAGAGGCAGUGGCAGAGUGAGGAUUUGAGUUCAAGGCCAACCUAAGCUAGAUAGUGAGUGUGAGUCUGAUUUGGGCUGUAUAGUGUAGCCUAUCUUUAAAAAAAAAAAAAAAAGGUGGGGGGAGAAAAAGAAAAGUUCAUUCUGCAUUAGUUGUGCAAGUAUUGCUAAAAGCUUUGAGAACUAACUGGUGGCGUUCUCAUUUAAAUUUACGGGGUCAGUCUGAGCCAGACAAGAUUUUUACUUCAUUUUACUAGGGUUAUUCUAUCGAUCUGGUCUUAUAGCUGGAGGAAAAGCCUAAGUGUCACUUAUUCCAACCAGAACCCUGUCCUAAGCAAGGAAGAACAAAUCAAGA